CAGAAUAUAGCUAAAAUAGUAAAGCAUCUCCCUUACACUGAGAAGUUGUUCAUGCAAUUUGAACUAUUCUGAC
rnacentral:tRNA from 1 species